AUGCACGCUGGCGGCGUGCCUCAUACCUGCAAGUCGAGCGAACAGACGAGGAGCUUGCUCCUCUGACGUUAGCGGCGGACGGGUGAGUAACACGUGGAUAACCUACCUAUAAGACUGGGAUAACUUCGGGAAACCGGAGCUAAUACCGGAUAAUAUAUUGAACCGCAUGGUUCAAUAGUGAAAGACGGUUUUGCUGUCACUUAUAGAUGGAUCCGCGCCGCAUUAGCUAGUUGGUAAGGUAACGGCUUACCAAGGCAACGAUGCGUAGCCGACCUGAGAGGGUGAUCGGCCACACUGGAACUGAGACACGGUCCAGACUCCUACGGGAGGCAGCAGUAGGGAAUCUUCCGCAAUGGGCGAAAGCCUGCCGGAGCAACGCCGCGUGAGUGAUGAAGGUCUUCGGAUCGUAAAACUCUGUUAUUAGGGAAGAACAAAUGUGUAAGUAACUAUGCACGUCUUGACGGUACCUAAUCAGAAAGCCACGGCUAACUACGUG
rnacentral:rRNA from 1 species